GUUCUGAACAAAAUUCGUGAAUGGAAUUCAUUAUUUCCACGAUGCGCUAUGAACAAGUCGAUGCCAAGGAAGAAAGAAAGAGACAGACAGACAGACAGACAGAGAGUGAGAGAGAGAGAGAGAGAGAGAGAAAGAGCCAGGCAGUUCGCGUCUUUUUCAACGUUUCGGCCGACGACACACGUUGAUUACGACGAUAACGCUCGAUUAAGAUUAUUAAGAAUAUUCAUGAACAGAGACGGUGCGCAUUUGGAUUAUAUCGAUAUUUACCUUCCACAUCUAUCGGCGUAUUUCCAGCGAACAGGAGCCCGCUCGUACCAGUUACCUACGCGUGAGAAACUAUUUUAAGAGCGCGCAACCGGUUCGCGUUGCGACUGGUACAAGACAUUUCCUUCGUGAGCCGCGGCGUCUUGACUGUUGAAACUCAUGUCUAAGAAGAACUCGAAGAAGAAGUGGUUCCUCAAUGGAGGACACUGGGGACCAGGUGAAUCCUUUGGAAUAUUUGUUAUCGGUUAAACCAUUGGAAUUGAUAGUAUCGUUAGACCAAACGAUAUUGAUCGUUUAUAAAAAUAAGUUCGGAGUUUCGUUUUUCUUUCCUUUUUUUUUCCCUUUUUUUUCUCUGUUUUUUUUCUUUUUUUUUUUUUCCUUUUCUUUUCCCUUCUUUUCGAUUCCUCUCUUAUUCGAUAAUUUUCUUAUUUUUCUUCUUCUUUCGGUAUGUUUUUCUUAAGUGAACUAACUCUCACCCAUCGAGUAAUACCGUUACGACACUUUGCUCGAUACGCUGUGCUUUGCGACACUGCCUGUUUGCUCAUUGAAAAAAUACAACUGGUGAACGGAGAUUACGAAGGAGAGGAAAAGGAGAAAAGAAAGGAAAAGAAAAGGAAAUGGAAUAAGAAGAAGGAAGAGAGAAAAUCAGAGUUUCAUGAUUGUCGAUUGAAUCCUAAGGUUGAUGUCCUGGGGUUAAAGAGAGACAGAGAGAGAGAGAGAGACAGACAGACAGACAGAAAAAGAGAGAGAGGGAAAGAGAAAGAGAAAGAGAAAGAGAGAGAGAGAGAGAGAGAGAGAAGUAGAGUAAAAGAGAUAGAAAGAGAGGAGUUUGCGAGGGGGCAAACUUUUUGAAAAAUCACUUGAAAACGGUGCACGGCGGCGAUUCGUAGCGGGUGUGACGAAUCGAAGAGCGGCUCUCAUUGGACUGAAUUAAGGAAGAGCGUGGACCGAGAGGACCGCCGCCGUAGCGGAAGGCGAUGGCAAGAGGAGGAGAAGAAGAAGGAGGAGGAGGUGGAGGUGGAGGAGGAGAAAAAGGAGGUGGUGGAUGAUGGUGGUGGUAGCGAUGAGAGUCGUCGACAGGAGUGGAGAGGAGAGAAAAACUAAAGAAAGAAGAGAGACAGAAAGAGAGAGAGAGUUGGGUAGUCCGGACUACUGACUGCACGAGACUGGUUUUUGAUUUUUUCACGACUUUUUGUUUUACCUGCUCUCCUGUUGCCUUUACCAACCACCAUCUUUCUCUCUCACUCUCUCUCUCUCUCUCUCUCUCUCUCUAUCUCUCUUUCUCUCUAUCUGUCUCCUACUCUUCCUUCGCGUCCCACCUUUGAGAAACGGUGUAACGGAGUCUCGAGGGACUCCUUGAAGAUCGGCAAAGUCGGUCGAAAUAUUUUGCGAAAAAAAGAAAAAUAUUUGAACGUCUACUUUUUUCUUCUCUUUUUUUCUUCUUUUAUUUAUUCAUUUAUUUAUUUAUUUUUUUUUUCUUCUAAUCGCUUCUUCGUAAUUAAUUAAUUAAUUGUAAAGUAUUCAAUUAUGAAUACUUUUGUGCGAACGAGUUACAACUUUUUUACGUAGGUUCGUCUAUGAGAAAAAAAAUUUAUAUUUAUCUUUAAUAAAUGUCGUUUGCUGUUGUUGUCAAUAGAAGCCAAGAAGGCGCGGUGUUAAAUAUCAUUUAAAUUCCAUCGCGCUUCGUUCUACCUGUGAAUCGUUAAUGAAGUAAACAGAGUUAGGUUUGAAUCAUCAUUAUCAUCAUCAUCAUCAUCAUCAUCGUCAUUAUUUACAAUAAGAUGCCACCUUGCAUUCUUGAGUUUGCCGAGCCUUUGACAAAUGCAAUUAUGAUAAUCCAUUUGUUUAAAAAUACAAUUACUUAGGUAAUUUUAAUUCGAAAAAUAAACAUUGAUGAAAGUGAUUGUAAUAAAGUAAAAAGAAUGUAAUAGUUUAUGAUUAUGAACGAUAAAUGAUUGCUAUACUUUUCUUGAGAUUCGCUUCGGGGAAGGGGGAAGGGUAAUGUAUGGUUCAACAGCGUCCAUUUCAUCGUUGACAAUCGCGUGUAUUAAGGAAAAAGAAGAAGAGGGGGUUGCGAUUAUCGGCCACUGCGAUCGUGCUCGAGUACGAGCUCGUAUAUAAUAUACAUAUGUACAUUAUAUAUAUAUAUAUAUAUAUAUAUAUAUAUAUAUACACAUGAUAGUGAGAAACUGAAAUAAUGAUUGGUGGGUAGGGGUAGACUUUUUAAAAAUUUUUUCUAAGCGUCCAUUAUGUCCCUCUUUGCAAAAAGUAUUAACGGGUUAUAAUAUACGAUAUAUUAAUCAAUAAUAUGAUUUUUCCAUACGAUUAGAGUGUUAUAUCUUUAUUACGUUAUUAUCGUUGACAACAAAAAAGAAAAAGAAAAAAAAAAUAAACGAAAGAAAAGAAAAAGAAGAAAUAUUUGAGUUUAAAAAUCGUACCUUCGUGAAUUGAUGACGACAGAAUGAUUCCGAGUAAUACCACCGGGGAAUGUAUAAAAUUAGAGAAUAUUAGGGGGAUAACGUGUGGCAGUUAGAAAGGGAAAUUGAAGAAAAUGAAAGGAACAUGAUCCCCCCACCAUUCGUCAUUAUAGUUUCUCACUGUACAUACGUAUGGCUGUCUGAAGAAUGGAUGGAUAUACGGAGAUACGAGGUUGUACGUCGUCCAUCGUGCAACCUCUCAUUUCCCUCCUACUGCAAUCAACGGCAUUUAAGCCUGGGUUCCGAGCGUUUAAGCAUUUAGUCGGCUUCCGCCAUAUCUCUACACGUAUUCCGAGCAUUUUUUUAUGGAUACAUGGCUAACACCGACCCCUCCCGUCUAUCCCCCUUGCCACCCCUGCCCCUUGUCUGACAGAUACUUCCUGGAAUACUGACAUAAGGAUCGCAAAGAGAGAGAGAGAGAGAGAGAGAGAGAGAGAGAGAGAGAGAGAGAUGAGACGAGACGAGACGAGACGAGUCUCUCUUUCUCUCUCUCUCUCUCUCUCUCUGGAGAUAGGCCAAGCAGAUUAUCGAUAGGUCAUCUUAAAUCGAUACGCAGAAACGACGAUCGAUGUCCGCGAUGGCUUUAUGGAACUUCAUUGAUUGGUUUUCAUCGAUUGAUUCGAACGGACGAAUUGAUUUUUAACGAGCGUACGAAAACAGACAGGCUUCUCGUAAGUGAGGGUAAAUUCAUUCUUCGGAGAGGAACUUGAAUGUUCUCGUUCCUUCGCUAUAGGUGGUCCUCCGUUUUCAAGUAGAUACAUGCCUGUAUGGCAUCAGCCGUGAAACUUGGAUCACCCUGAAGAAUGAAGAAGAACCAUCGGCACAACCAUCACUACCACCACUACAUCAGAACACCACUACCACUAGCAUCAUCACCACCAUUACCAUCACCAUCAGCAUCACCAUCGUCUUUCGUGGUGGAUCCUCGUGAUGAGCACAACAUCGGCUUUAGUAAAGAUUCGAAAGGAAUGGGACACGAUCGAAGAGAGGACCGCACACGUAUAGAACACCGCGUGUGCGUGACUUUGCGGCUUUCGGCUUUCCAAGAUCGUUUUCUUUUUUUUUUCUUUUUUUCUUUUCUUUUUUUUUUUUUUUUUUUCUUUUUUUUUUACGGGAGGACGAACCGAACUCGAAAAGACAAAAGGCCCUGAGGAAAGAUGUAAAGUGGGAGAAGAUUGUUAGAGAGAGGGAGAGAUAGAGAGAGAGAGAAUGUCAGGUAUACGAAGGUCGUUAGCUCGAAGAAAAAUUAGCCGUUUGUCGGAGAGAAGUUCUGGGCCUAAAGAUGGGUCAAUCAGAUACGAAAACACUUGUCGGUUCAAGCAUUGUCCGAAGGUAACAGGUCUACAAAAGAUUGUAGACACAGGUAUACCGUCCUAAUGACUGACCUAAGGAAUUCAAACCUUUACGAGUCCUUGAAUUUUUUUUCUAUCCUCUCCUAAUCUCUCUUUUUCUUUCUCUUUCUCUUCCAUUCUCUCAUAUCAGGAUAUUUCCUUCCUCCGGUAAAUCGUCUUAAAUUUAUCUUCAACUUACUCGCUCGUGUCAUUUCAGUCAAAACUGAGUAAGGAUAAUUUGCCAGCUAUAGCGGACCGAUGAUAAAAUCUUUGUUUUAAUUUUACAACAAAUGCACUUACCGUGGGGCUCAUCGUAAACCUUCGCAAAUGUCUCGUCAUAGGGAUACUUUGUCAUUUUCUUGAAAAUAAAAAAGAAAAAAAAAAAAAAAAGAAAAAAAAAGAAAAAGAGAGAAAAUGUUCUCCUUUUGUACAGGAAAUAAGUAUUACUUUUCAAAGUUUUAUCGUUAA